rnacentral:misc_RNA from 1 species
GUUCAAUUAAGUAAUGGUGAUCCGAUUCUAGACAAGGAUCCAAUUAAGUAGUAGACAUUUGAAUAGAUCAAGUGAAAUAUUAUUCCAGCGUUCUGCUUUCUUGCUUAUAAAAAAUAAAUAAUAAAAUAAAGGCUCUUUCUGCUUGGUUUUACGAAGGUGAUGUCUAAAGCAUCAAAUUCUCUAUUACUCAAUUAUCUUCCUGAAUAUGGAACCUUCUCUUACAUCCUCUGGAGUGCCUAUGGAAGGUUCACUGUUAGUGUCAGCUGCAGCAAAUCUCCAUCAAUGCGAUGAUAUUCCUCUUCAAUCUUGGACUGAAGCGUCUGGACAUCUGGUGGUGACUUGAUAAUUUCAACAUCAGAGCUCUUACACUUCUAGGCUUUGCAUUUCCAUUGUUGCCCUCUGUCUGGUAUCAAAUGUUUACAAGAAGAGGCGUCUGGCUGACAUCAUUGACAACCCUUCAAGCCUUCAUUGUAUUCUCAUUUCAAACAUCCAGACAAUCUUAUCUUCGUAGAUAUAAUAAUAAAGCUCUGAUUUCCCUAUGGCUCCCAGAGCUGCCUCAUAAUGCUGUCACUUUCCUCCUCAUACCUAGCCACUGUUGCUUCCACUACUUUUUCUCUUUCUCAUCACUUCAGAUAUAACAUACUUUCAACUCACAAUCAACCAGAAGAGAGAAAACAACAAUAACAUUUUCAUUUCUCACCAGCCAUUUCUGACUGGUAAGUUCAAACUUGAUCCAUCCAAAUGCAUGCUCUAAAGCUAACAAUAUCUUAGAUCUAAAGUUGAACACAUGUGAGAAAAAUCCAGUAUGAGAGCCUCUAUUGAUGAACUUUCACAUGAUAGCUGAAGAAGGUUGAAAAAAUCAUAUACUGUUAAGAAGGUGAGAAAUGUCAUUUCAAAUGUGCAAUUCAUAUGCAAGCUUUGACACCAGAAAGCAGAAAAGAGAUUUUAUCAAAUCAUACCUUCAUGUGUAUUGUCACUAAGGGACAGCUAAAUGGUAAAGGCUUGGGACCUCUAUUAAGAGAUCUGGGUUUAAUUCUCCUGAGUGAGCUGGAAACAAUUAUGGGAGGAGGAGAGCUGUUCCCAUGUACCACAGAAUCCCUGUUUAAACCAGUAGUGCACUGUUACUUCAUGUUCCCUCUCCCAGCACUCAUACAGGAGACAUCGUGGAAAAAGAGAGUAGUGAAGAGGUUUGAACCGGUUCUUAAGCAUUUGAGAGCAAGCGACAGACAGGAAGCGUUGCAGCAAUAUGUGUGUUCACUGGCACAGAAAAGGCUAAUUAUGCUUGUAUUUUGUUUUCAUGCCUCUACUAAAUACUCUUUCCUUUAUACAUUUCCUUCAACAGCUUCUCGGCAUCAAGUGUCUUUCCUGGUCUAGCAAAAGUAGAACAGAUACAACUAAUAGUGCUUUCACAUGGAAUAAAUCCUUUAUCAUUCAUCUCUGUGAUUAAUAUUUUUGCCUCAGUUCGGUAUGCCUCUUUCAUUGUCCUGCCUACCUUUGGUUGUUUAGAUAAAUUGCACCAUCCAUGGAUUAGUAUGUCGUAAGUGGAAGAAUUUGGGGAAAUGCCUCUCACUUGCAUCUCAUUAAAAAGCUCUCUAGCCUGGUCCAUCUUUCCCACCUUUGCAAAAUCACUGAUAAUCACAUUAUAGGUGCUGGUUUUAGGAACAAAGCCUUGGGCAACCAUUUCACAGUACAGCUUUAUAGAUUCCUUCUUGUUUCCUACUUUACCAUGUCCAGAGAUCAAAGUAUCGUAUGUUGAAGCAUCAGGAUUUAAUCCAUUUUCCUUCAUUUUAUCUAAUAAUUCCUCUGCCUCUGCCAUCAAACCAGCUGCUAAGAGACCACCUAGAAGGAGAUUGUAAGUAACAAUAUUUGGUGAAACUCCUUCAUUCAACAUCUGAGUAUAUGUGGCCAAAGCCCUCUUAACAUGACUGCUUUCACAAUGUCCUCGAAUAAGAGCAUUGUAAGUGAUAGUAUCUGGUAAAAAUCCAUCCCUAAUCAUGUAUUUCAAUACUGAAGUGGCUUUCUUAGUCAUGCGCAGCCUGCAUAAGACUACAAUCAGAUUGUUAUAAACUUCUCGAUUGACUUUUAGUCCCAUAUCAACAAGUCGAACAUGCAUUUGCAAGAUUCUGUCAGCCUUUCCACUUUUUGAAGAUGCAUCAAGCAGAAUCCUAUGGGUGACCGGGUUAAGGUGAAUUCCCACAAUCAACAUCUCAUUCAAAACAUUUAUUGCCUUUUCAAUUUCACCAACUCCCAAAAGCCCUCUUACCAGGGUGUUGCAAGUGAUUGAACUUGGCACUAUCUUAUGGCUCUUCAUCUCAUUCCACAGUUCACAGGCAUUUUCCAGUUUUCCUUGCCUGCAGUAUGCGCUAAUCAUGGUGUUAUAUGUGGUAAGGUCAGGAGACAAACCCAACUCUCUCAUUCCAGUAUAAACAGCUUUGGCAUCAUAUUUUCCAAAUUUUAAGAGACCAUUUAUCAACACAUUAUAUGCAACAACAUCCAAUGGUAUACUUUUCUCAUUCAUUUCUUCAACUAGUUUUAAAGCAGCAGACUCCUUUCCCAACUUGAAGAGGACAUCAACUAGAGAUGUGUAGUUAACACGAUCCAAUAACAAGCCCCUAGACAUGAUAUCUUUGAUUAAUCCCUCAGCUUCAUCCAUUUUUCUACCUCUUUUCAAGUUGUUUAAAAAAACAUCAAGCAGAACAUUGUUCUCCUCCAAUCCACUCAAUUUCAUUUCAUUAUAGAGAUCAAGAGCAAUUUCUUGUUUACCUAACUUGCAAUAGCCAUCAAUUAGUGUAAUGUAAAUAUAAGCAUUUGGCAUGAUAUUUUGACCCACCAUUUUCUUCACAAUGUUCAUAGCUUCAUCAAGCAUUCCUUUCUUGGUAUAGCCAUUUAUGAUAGAAGAAUAGGUGAUGACGUUUGAAAUAAUAUGUCUCUCCUCCAUUUCUUGUAAAAGAGUCUCCGCACUUUCCAUGUCUCCUAACUUGCAACGCCCAUCAAUCAAUGCCGUAUAAGUGAUGCUAUUUGGAAUAAGAUUAAGUUUUGAAAGUAUCUUGAACAUGUAUUCUGCCUCAUCAGGCUUCCUAGACUUAAAAAGCCCAUCCAUCAAUGUGGUGCAAAUAACCAAAUCAAAGGCAAUUCCACGAACCACCAUUUGACUUUGAUAGACAAAAGCUUCCCAAGCACUCCCUGCUUUAAAUAAUGAAUCAACAAGAGUACCAUAAGCAACAUGAUUGGGAUCCACACCCAUCAUCUCCAUCUCCCUCAAAAGUGCUUUUGCUUCAAAUAACCUCCCAUGCUUGCAAAGGCCAUUUAAAAUAGAACUAUAGGUAACUACAUCAGGCAAGAUCCCAUUAAUGACCAUUUCUUCAUAUAAAGCUCGUGCUUCCUCAAGUCCAUGCUGCUUACAAUAUGCAUUUAUAAGGGUGGUGUGAGUGAUAAGGUUUGGUUCCAAAUCCACAUAGCUAUCCUUCUUGUUUCUAUCAUCAAUUUUUGGAAGAACAAAAUCUUUUUCACUCCUACACCCCAGUAUCUCAUCAAGUAGACACUUAGCUUUUUCAAACUCGCCUCUUUUGCAAAACCCAUUAAUCAAAGCAUUAUAACUAGCAAUAUCAGGCAACAGACCCUCUUUCUUUAUUCUCUCCAUCAAGUUGAGAGCACGAAACAUAUCUCCAGCUUUGCAAUAUCCAUCAAUCAAUGUAUUAAAGCCUAUGAUGUCUUUACAAGUCCCUCCACUAACCAAAUUACCCAUUACCCACUCCCCAUACUUAACUAACCCAAUUCUACAAUAGCCUUUAACCAAUGUAUUGCAAGUAAUAGAAUCAAAGAAUAUAUCUUUCUUUACCAUGAUUGACAAAAAUCCAAAGGCCUGAUUGGCUAGACCUUGCUGGCAGAAACCCCAUAUAACUGUGUUAUACGUAACUGUAUCAACCUCGAUAUCGACAUUCCUAAGUAAAUCUAAGGCCAAAAUUAAAUCACCCAUUUUGCACCAGGCAUGCACCAAGACAUUGUGGGUGAAAACAUUCGGCAAAACUCCACAAGGCAACAUCUCAGAAUAAAUAUCGCAUACCUGAGAGACCAAGCCAAAGGCAUUGAAAUGGUAAAUGAGUUGAUUCCACAGGGACAAGCUGGGAAUAAUAUUGUGUUUUCUCAUGUCAUAGAAUGUGUUCAUAGCUUUGGAGAGUCUGCCACAGGUCAAGUAGAGGUGUAUAAGAGAGCAGAAAAAUGAGGCAUAUAGAUAAGAUUUCGAAGGUGGGAUGGUAAUUGUGUGGAUACGUUGAAAAGUAUAGGAGGAUUUGAGGGACACUGGGUUUGGGUUUUGGUAGGGUUUUGGGAUGGAAGGGGCAUGGCAACGGUGUUUGGUUGAUGAGAAAGAGAGGGAUUUCGAGAGAAGCAUUGAGGGAGAGAAGGAUCUUAUUGGAUUCUUGAAAUGCUUUAUCAUAAUUUCAUUUGCUAGAAUGAUUUAGGUUUGUUGUGGCUGAUGGUUUUCAUGGC